rnacentral:rRNA from 1 species
UACGUAGGGUGCAAGCGUUGUCCGGAAUUAUUGGGCGUAAAGAGCUCGUAGGCGGUCUGUCGCGUCGGAUGUGAAAACCCAGGGCUCAACCCUGGGCCUGCAUUCGAUACGGGCAGACUAGAGUUCGGUAGGGGAGACUGGAAUUCCUGGUGUAGCGGUGAAAUGCGUAGAGAUCGGGAGGAACACCAGUGGCGCAAGCGGCCCCCAAGCCUGAACCUGACGCUGAAGCGCGACAGCGUGGGGAGCAAACGGG